GCAGUCGAGCGGACGAUUCAAAAGCUUGCUUUUGAGUCGUUAGCGGGGGACGGGUGAGUGACACGGGGGGAACCUGCCCUGUGGACGGGGAUGACACCGAGAAAUCGGUGCUAAUACCGGAUAAUACAAAAGAUCGCAUGAUCUUUUGUUGAAAGGCGGCGCAAGCUGUCGCUACAGGAUGGGCCCGCGGCGCAUUAGCUAGUUGGUGAGGUAACGGCUCACCAAGGCGACGAUGCGUAGCCGACCUGAGAGGGUGAUCGGCCACACUGGGACUGAGACACGGCCCAGACUCCUACGGGAGGCAGCAGUAGGGAAUCUUCCGCAAUGGACGAAAGUCUGACGGAGCAACGCCGCGUGAGCGAAGAAGGCCUUCGGGUCGUAAAGCUCUGUUGUUAGGGAAGAACAAGUAGCGCAGUAACUGGCGUUACGAUGACGGUACCUAACGAGGAAGCCACGGCUAACUACGUGCCAGCAGCCGCGGUAAUACGUAGGUGGCAAGCGUUGUCCGGAAUUAUUGGGCGUAAAGCGCGCGCAGGCGGUUCCUUAAGUCUGAUGUGAAAGCCCACGGCUCAACCGUGGAGGGUCAUUGGAAACUGGGGG
rnacentral:rRNA from 1 species